GUGAUUGGUCACUUGGGGGCAGCACGUUGUAAACACCACGCGGACGUUUCUUCGCGGUUUAAAGUUAAUAUGGCUAACUAGUUAGCAAACUGUUGCUUAUUUACACUACCGCCAGACACAAGGAAACAUUAACCUGUAUUUGGAGUCGCCUGAGGGAUGAAUGAACGAGUGGGUGAGGAGAGCGGCCACAAGAGGUGGAAAUCAUCGCCUGAGAGGAAGCAGGAAGUGGCUGCUGAUGGCGUCAGGAUCGAGGUGUCGCUCCCUGCCUGGGUGCUCUGCCGUGCCACAUCUGUCCAUCUGUCAAGCAUACAGGCCCAUCAAUCAAACAGCUGAAUGCAGAAGCUGAGGAGGAGCAGGAGCCGGGAACAACAGCAUAACAGGAGUUUGACAGACUCCCCCCUCCCUCCUCCUCUGCACCCAUCCCCCCUCCCCCGGUCAUUCUCAGAGGAGUUGUUCCCUGCCCAGUGGCAUGUGGAUGUGUAUAAUGGAGAUGGAUGGUGGCUGGCUCUGCCACACCGUGGAACAGACGGACUCCUCCCUAAACGCCUGUCUGCCAGCCUCCAUCAGUCUCCCUCCGACAGCCCCUCCGGAAUACAGCCCAGGCUCAAUAUCGGCCUGCUCAGGUGUGCGCUGGUGUGUGUGUGUGUGUGUGUGCACAUAAGCCAUACUUACUGGUACAUGUUAUUAUUUUGUGUUGAAAAGUUGACUUUUUUUAGCUCUGACUUCUUGUAACAUUUCAAAUGGAAAUCAAACGACAUCAACAUGCACAACAAGAAGUAAUGCCAGAGUAACCCAGGGGUGAAGCGCUGCAGCGAGCUCCCAAAGAGCCUAUUUGCAAAGAUAUAUCCC
rnacentral:lncRNA from 1 species